rnacentral:piRNA from 1 species
UAGGAAAGCACAAGGUGGUGAGCAG